AUGCAUGUUAUGAAUCAAACACCACAUAAAUUUGUCCCACUUGAAACCCUUUACUAUCCAGAUAGAUGUAUUGAUAUCAGACUCAUGGGGAACCUGCACUGUACCCGUGUAUGGUGGAGCAACCUAGCUCAGAAAUAAUAACAAUAACCACAUCCUCAACCACCACUAAUAAUGCCAUACACCAAGGUUAAUCCGUCAAACAUUUAUGGCCCUAACCAGUGACUAUAGACUAGGACCUUCUGUUACUCUCCACGACAUAAUCACCCAUCUCUAUAUGAAAUGGGGUUAUUAAGAGUGUCAGAAUCAUUCUCCAAUCUAGGAGCCCCUACAUCAAUACAUAACACCACAACCAACUUAGAAUAUUCCUCCUUGGAAUUCCUUUCUCACAUGGUACUUGAAAUUCAUACCUCACACAUUGCAUUCUACACAUAACAUCACUGAUCACAUAAUCUCAUAAAUACUUAUGCAUCAUUCACAAUGAAUAAUCAUGUAACUUCACUUCACAAGAAAAUAAGAAUAAAAAGGAUAAAGCACCC
rnacentral:lncRNA from 1 species